CCCGCUGAACUUAAGCAUAUCAAUAAGCGGAGGAAAAGAAACUAACAAGGAUUCCCCUAGUAACGGCGAGUGAAGCGGGAUGAGCUCAAAUUUAAAAUCUGGCUGGUUUACUAGUCCGAAUUGUAGUUUAUAGAAGCGUUUUCGGUGGCAGCCUGGGUAUAAAUCCUUUGGAAUAGGGUAUCAUAGAGGGUGAGAAUCCCGUCUUUGACUCAGUGCAUGCUACUAUGUGAUACGUUUUCAAAGAGUCGAGUUGUUUGGGAAUGCAGCUCAAAAUGGGUGGUAAAUUCCAUCUAAAGCUAAAUAUUGGCGAGAGACCGAUAGCGAACAAGUACCGUGAGGGAAAGAUGAAAAGAACUUUGGAAAGAGAGUUAAACAGUACGUGAAAUUGCUGAAAGGGAAACGCUUGAAGUCAGUCGCGUUGGCCAGGGAUCAACCUUGCUUUUGCUUGGCUUACUUUCUGGUCGAUGGGUCAGCAUCAAUUUUGACUGGUGGAAAAAGUUCAAGGGAAUGUGGCAUCUUCGGAUGUGUUAUAGCCUUUGUUCACAUACAUUGGUUGGGAUUGAGGAACUCAGCACGCCGCAAGGCCGGGUUUUUAACCACGUACGUGCUUAGGAUGCUGGCAUAAUGGCUUUAAUCGACCCGUCUUGAAACACGG
rnacentral:rRNA from 1 species